rnacentral:lncRNA from 1 species
GGCUUAUUAAAACACCUCACCGAAGGCUAUUUCAAUGUUCUUAUGUGUGGACAUUUACAUCUUUUAUAAACUUGCGAAUAGGUGCAUUUACAUGUGUUGGCUCUCCAGGAGAACCACGGCAAAUGUAUUCAAGAUUCAUACUGGCUUGCUUUGCAAAUAGUCUACAAUUUGGACAACAGGAUUUAAGAAAGCCCCAGGUCUGUGUUCCAAUUUUCAUGUCCAUUAACUGUCAGUACUGGGAAGAGGAAGGCAGAAAUCACUCCUACUCAAUGGAGAAGCCAUUUUUUAAAUUUUUCCUUCUUCAAUGUCCCCAGCUUAUGAUAGUCCAUUUGCCCAGCAUAGGCUAUUGGUAUUUCAGUGCUUUAUCUAGUUGUUGUAUAUGUUUCCCUCUCCUUAUUCACUCACCUCUUUCAUAGCUAAGAACUGUGACGGUUUCUCUACAACAUGAGGUAAGUCAAACCCAAUGUAUUUUUAUACACAGGUGGCUCAAGAGCUUUCUUCUUGGAAACGGUAUUCCAGAAAAGCCAUUGUGUUCUGGUUGACAGUCAUUUUAGCUCUG